CAGUAGCCGCGGGAAUACGAAGGGUGCAAGCGUUAAUCGGAAUUACUGGGCGUAAAGCGUGCGCAGGCGGUUUGUUAAGACAGAUGUGAAAUCCCCGGGCUCAACCUGGGAACUGCAUUUGUGACUGGCAAGCUAGAGUGUGGCAGAGGGGGGUGGAAUUCCGCGUGUAGCAGUGAAAUGCGUAGAUAUGCGGAGGAACACCGAUGGCGAAGGCAGCCCCCUGGGCCAACACUGACGCUCAUGCACGAAAGCGUGGGGAGCAAACAGGAUUAGAUACCCCUGUAGUCCCUGUCUCUUAUAC
rnacentral:rRNA from 1 species